rnacentral:rRNA from 1 species
AAAAGUAUUGCUACCCUGCGAGUCGAGAGGAGAAAGACCUCGAGCAUACUGCUCAGUAACACGUGGAUAAUCUGCCCUCAGAUGAGGAAUAAUCCCGGGAAACUGGGGCUAAUGCCUCAUAGGAGACGGGUGCUGGAAUGCUCUGUCUCUGAAAGGUCCGCCGUCUGAGGAUGAGUCUGCGUCCGAUUAGGUUGUUGUUGGGGUAACGGCCCACCAAGCCAUUGAUCGGUACGGGUUGUGGGAGCAAGAGCCCGGAGAUGGAUUCUGAGACAUGAAUCCAGGCCCUACGGGGCGCAGCAGGCGCGAAAACUUUACAAUGCGAGCAAUCGUGAUAAGGAAACCCUGAGUGCCUGUCAAUGCAGGCUGUUCUGGUGUUUAGUCCGCACCAGGAGAAAGGGCGGGGCAAGACCGGUGCCAGCCGCCGCGGUAAUACCGGCUGCUCGAGUGAUAGCCACUUUUACUGGGCUUAAAGCGUUCGUAGCUUGGUUCGUUAAGUCUCUGGGGAAAUCUUCUGGCUUAACCAGAAGGCGUCUCAGAGAAACUGGCCGACAUGGGACCGGGAGAGGUAAGACGUACUUCGGGGUAGGAGUGAAAUCUGUAUCCUCGAGGGACGACCGAUGCCGAGGCAUCUACCAGACGGCUUCGACAGUGAGGACGAAGCUGGGGGAGCAACCGAAUAGAACCCGGGUAGUCCAGUCGUAACGAUGGGCCGUAGGUUGUGUCAGUGGACCCCAGUCCUGGAGGUGCACGGAUCUGGAACGUACCGCUUGGCGUCGGUCGAGGUUGACCUUAGGAUUGGCGGGAGAUCCUAACCGGUGGAACUCGGCGUUAUGGAUCCAGCCGCA